rnacentral:miRNA from 1 species
AUUUGUUACUAAUUUGGAAUG